GACGAACCACACAAACGUUAUUCGGAAUUACUGGGCUUAAAGGGUGCGUAGGCUGCGCAGAAAGUUGGGUGUGAAAUCCCUCGGCUCAACCGAGGAACUGCGCCCAAAACUACUGUGCUCGAGGAAGACAGAGGUGAGCGGAACUUAGGGUGGAGCGGUGAAAUGCGUUGAUAUCCUAAGGAACACCCGGUGGCGAAAGCGGCUCACUGGGUCUUUUCUGACGCUGGGGCACGAAAGCUAGGGUAGCGAACGGG
rnacentral:rRNA from 1 species